rnacentral:rRNA from 1 species
AGCAGCCGCGGUAAUUCCAGCUCCAAUAGCGUAUAUUAAAGUUGUUGCAGUUAAAAAGCUCGUAGUUGAAUUUCGGAAUCUGUCCAUCGGUCGGGCUUCACUGUCCGUACUGGUGUGGUGGGUUCUUACCUUCUGAAUAACCAGCAUGCCAUUCAUUUGGUGCGCUGGGGAAGCAGGACUAUUACCUUGAAAAAAUUAGAGUGCUCAAAGCAGGCUAGUGCCUGAAUACAUUAGCAUGGAAUAAUAAAAUAGGACGGCAUGGUUCUAUUUUGUUGGUUUCUAGGAUCACCGUAAUGAUUAAUAGGGAUAGUUGGGGGCAUUAGUAUUCAAUUGUCAGAGGUGAAAUUCUUGGAUUUAUUGAAGACUAACUUCUGCGAAAGCAUUUGCCAAGGAUGUUUUCAUUAAUCAAAGAACGAAAGUUAGGGGAUCGAAGACGAUCAGAUACCGUCG